CCUACGGGCGGCAGCAGUGGGGGAUAUUGCACAAUGGGGGAAACCCUGAUGCAGCGACGCCGCGUGGGUGAAGAAGCGCCUCGGCGCGUAAAGCCCUGUCAGCAGGGAAGAAAAUGACGGUAACUGAAGAAGAAGCCCCGGCUAACGACGGGCCAGCAGCCGCGGUAAGACGUAGGGGGAAAGCGGUAUCCGGAUGUACUGGGUGGAAAGGGGGCGCAGACGGCGAGGCAAGCCAGGAGUGAAAGCCCGGGGCCCAACCCCGGGACGGCUCUUGGAACUGCGUGGCUAGAGUGCAGGAGGGGUAGGCGGAAUUCCUGGUGUAGCGGUGAAAUGCGUAGAUAUCAGGAGGAACACCGGUGGCGAAGGCGGCCUGCUGGACUGCAACUGACGUUGAGGCCCGAAAGCGUGGGGAGCAAACAGGAUUAGAUACCCGGGUAGUC
rnacentral:rRNA from 1 species